rnacentral:rRNA from 1 species
GACGUAGGGGGCGAGCGUUGUCCGGAUUCACUGGGCGUAAAGCGCGCGUAGGCGGCUCGUUAAGUCGGAUGUGAAAACCCGGGGCUCAACCCCGGGCCUGCACCCGAUACUGGCGGGCUGGAGGCAGGUAGGGGAGAUCGGAAUUCCCGGUGUAGCGGUGAAAUGCGCAGAUAUCGGGAGGAACACCGGUGGCGAAGGCGGAUCUCUGGGCCUGUCCUGACGCUCAGGCGCGAAAGCUAGGGGAGCAAACAGG